UACAGAGGUCUCAAGCGUUGUUCGGAUUCAUUGGGCGUAAAGGGUGCGUAGGUGGCAUGGUAGGUCGGAUGUGAAAUCCCGGGGCUCAACCCCGGAACUGCAUUCGAUACUGCUGAGCUAGAGUACUGGAGAGGAGAUUGGAAUUUACGGUGUAGCAGUGAAAUGCGUAGAUAUCGUAAGGAAGACCAGUGGCGAAGGCGGAUCUCUGGACAGUUACUGACACUGAGGCACGAAGGCCAGGGGAGCAAACGGG
rnacentral:rRNA from 1 species